CACGUAGGGCGCAAGCGUUGUCCGGAAUUAUUGGGCGUAAAGAGCUCGUAGGCGGUUCGUCGCGUCGGCUGUGAAAACCUGAGGCUCAACCUCAGGCCUGCAGUCGAUACGGGCGGACUUGAGUACUGCAGGGGAGACUGGAAUUCCUGGUGUAGCGGUGAAAUGCGCAGAUAUCAGGAGGAACACCGGUGGCGAAGGCGGGUCUCUGGGCCGAUACUGACGCUGAGGAGCGAAAGCGUGGGGAGCAAACAGG
rnacentral:rRNA from 1 species